UACGAAGGCGGCAAGCGUUGUUCGGAUUUACUGGGCGUACAGGGAGCGUAGGCGGAUAGGUAAGCCCUCCGUGAAAUCUCCUGGCUCAACUGGGAGGGGUCGUCCGAAACUACCAGUCUUGAGGGCAGUAGAGGGAGGUGGAAUUCCGGGUGUAGUGGUGAAAUGCGUAGAUAUCCGGAGGAACACCGGUGGCGAAAGCGGCCUCCUGGGCUGCCCCUGACGCUCAGACGAGAGAGCUAGGGGAGCGAACGGG
rnacentral:rRNA from 1 species